UCCAUCUAGCCAUGUGGAUCUGAGGCAGGAUAGUUUCUACUCUGUAGAUUUGAAGUGUCCCUGAAGGUUUCCAGAAACUCGCAGAUCUAGGCUCCGGUUUCUGCAAGCUCUGCCACACUGCAGGACCCAGAAGGCUCACCAACCGAGGACAAUGGAUGAACUCUGGGCAAAGAAGUAGAUUUUGAAUGAGUCAAGAACAUAAAGAAUUGGGCUACACAGCACCCUGUACUCAAAGCAAGACAGUGAGGAAUGUGAAGAUUGAAGAUCAAGGGUAAGGCAAGUCAUGGGACAAGUCAAGAAAGUCAUCAAGGACAAAAGGAGCCAGUCACUAGAAAGCAAGUUAAUGCAAUAGAUCAAAUUCCAGAAUCCUGGAAAACUAUGAACCUAAAAUAUUAAGCAAGUUGAUGGGGAAAGGCAGACAUACAAAAGCACCAAUAUGGGAAAAUGGGAUUGGAGUACAAAUAUGAGCCCUAGUAAAAAAAAACACUUGCCACAAAUGUCUGCUAUAAUAAAUACCUUUACAAAUAAAAGUCUUUUUACUGGAACAGGUGGUAAUUACAGGCAAGGCUAUUCCAAAGUCUAAAGGCUUCACCUAGUAAAUGGUUCAUCUGUUUAGAAAGCUAAAUAAAAAUAUAACAGUGAAUCCACUCUCAUAUAUAAUAUUAAUACACCAAUAAAAAUCUGAAUACAUUAAGAAAAUCACAAAGGAAGGAAGGAAGGGAAGGAGGAAGAAUGCAUUUUAGACAAAUGCAAUAAUCAUCUCAAAAGGCAGGAACCUUCCAAAAGCUCACUGGAAUUUGGGAAAAGAAGGAUUCGAUUGUUUUGUAUGGUGGGAUCUCCAUUACCUUUCAAUAUGCCCAUUUAAAAAUUUUUUUUUUGAUUUUUUAUUUAGUGUUUCUAAAUCAGUAAAUUUUGUUUGUGAUUAUUUUUCUAUUCAUUAUAGGUAUCUAAAAUAUAUACAGCAGAAACACUAUGCUUUACACUAAAUACAUCAUGCAUUUAUUAUUAAUUUAUUAUUAAUUUAAUUCAUAAAAAUAUUUUAAAAAUUAUUAGUUGUUUAUGGAUCUUUAUUUUAUUCACUUAUAUGCAAUGUUGAGAAUCGAACCCAGUGCCUCACACAUCCUAGGCACGUGCUCUAUCACUGAGCCACAACCCUAGACCCUGUAAAUAUAACUUUAAUGGUUAAAAAUAUGCAUCAACUUUCAAUAUUGACCUUCAAAGUGAAAUAUAUUUUCCUGGUAAUAUAGAGCUUAUUUAGUCAAUUUUUAUAUCAUGUUUUGUAGUUUUUUAAACUCUAAUUUUCACU
rnacentral:lncRNA from 1 species